CGCUUUUGGAGGGGGGUGCGUCCUAUCAGGUAGUUGGUGUGGUAAUAGCUCACCAAGCCUAUGACGGGUAGCCGGUCUGAGAGGAUGUCCGGCCGCAAUGGAACUGAGACACGGUCCAUACUCCUACGGGAGGCAGCAGUGGGGAAUCUUGCGCAAUGGGCGAAAGCCUGACGCAGCAAUCCCGCGUGAAGGAUGAAGCAUUAUGGUGUGUAAACUUCUUUUCUGGUGGAAGACGAAUGACGGUACACCAGGAAUAAGGGACGGCUAACUACGUGCCAGCAGCCGCGGUAAUACGUAGGUCCCAAGUGUUAUCCGGAAUUACUGGGCGUAAAGAGUCUGUAGCCGGGUUUGUAAGUCUGUUUUCAAAUCCUAUGGCUUAACCAUAGAGAGGGAAUGGAUACUGCAAACCUUGAGAUUAUUGGGGGUUGAUGGAAUUUCCGGUGGAGCGGUGAAAUGCGUUGAUAUCGGAAGGAACGCCAAAAGUGAAAGCAGUCAACUACAAUAAAUCUGACGGUCAGAGACGAAAGCUUGGGGAGCAAACGGGAUUAGAUACCCCGGUAGUCCAAGCCGUACAUUAUGCAUGCUAGGUGUCUUGUUCACUUUAUGUGAGCGGGGUGCCGUAAUCUAACGAGUUAAGCAUGCCGCCUGGGUAGUAUAUUCGCAAGAAUGAAACUCAAAGGGAUAGGCGGGGGAACACACAAGCAGUGGAUUGUCUCGAUUAAUUGGAUAAUAAGCCAAGUAUCUUACCUAGACUUGACAUAUAUUGUGUCCUACGUGAAAGUGUAGUAAUCCCGAUUUUGUCGGGAUACGAUAUACAGGUGGUGCAUGGUCGUCGUCAGCUCGUGCCGCAAGAUGUCCAGUUAAGUCUGGGAACGAGCGCAACCCUCGUUGUUAGUUAGAAUGUCUAACAAGACUGCUCCGGCAACGGAGAGGAAGGAGAGGAUGACGUCAGAUCAUCAUGCCCCUUACGUCUAGGGCUUCAUAGACAAUACAAUGGAUAGUACAGCGAGAAGCGAUGCCGCGAGGCUAAGCAAAUC
rnacentral:rRNA from 1 species